rnacentral:rRNA from 1 species
GCAGUCUGCAACUCGACUGCACGAAGUCGGAAUUGCUAGUAAUCGCGGAUCAGCAUGCCGCGGUGAAUACGUUCCCGGGCCUUGUACACACCGCCCGUCACACCAUGAGAGUCGGGAACACCCGAAGUCGGUAGUCUAACCUCGUGAGGGCGCCGCCGAAGGUGGGCUUGAUAAUUGGGGUGAAGUCGUAACAAGGUACC